UACGGAGGGGGCUAGCGUUGUUCGGAAUUACUGGGCGUAAAGCGCACGUAGGCGGCUUUGCAAGUUAGAGGUGAAAGCCCGGGGCUCAACUCCGGAAUUGCAUUUAAAACUGCAUCGCUAGAAUUGUGGAGAGGUAAGUGGAAUUCCGAGUGUAGAGGUGAAAUUCGUAGAUAUUCGGAAGAACACCAGUGGCGAAGGCGACUUACUGGACACAUAUUGACGCUGAGGUGCGAAAGCGUGGGGAGCAAACAGG
rnacentral:rRNA from 1 species